UUGGAGGGCAAGUCUGGUGCCAGCAGCCGCGGUAAUUCCAGCUCCAAUAGCAUAUAUUAAAGUUGUUGCAGUUAAAAAGCUCGUAGUUGAAUUUCGGGAUCAGAGUGUCGGUCGUGCCUCGGUACGCACUGGUAUUAUUGGUUCCUACCUUCUGAAGAACCGCGAUGUCAUUAAUUUGGUGUCGUGGGGAAUCAGGACUGUUACUUUGAAAAAAUUAGAGUGUUUAAAGCAGGCUUACGCUUGAAUACAUUAGCAUGGAAUAGUGAAAUAGGACGUUUGAUUCUAUUUUGUUGGUUUCUAGGAUUGACGUAAUGAUUAAUAGGGAUAGUUGGGGGCAUUAGUAUUCAAUUGUCAGAGGUGAAAUUCUUGGAUUUAUUGAAGACUAACUACUGCGAAAGCAUUUGCCAGGGAUGUUUUCAUUAAUCAAGAACGAAAGUUAGGGGAUCGAAGACGAUCAGAUACCGUCGUAGUCUUAACCAUAAACUAUGCCGACUAGGGAUCGGAUGAUGUUAAUUUUUUAAUGACUCAUUCGGCGCCUUACGGGAAACCAAAGUGUUUGGGUUC
rnacentral:rRNA from 1 species